rnacentral:rRNA from 1 species
AUACGGAGGAUCCGAGCGUUAUCCGGAUUUAUUGGGUUUAAAGGGUGCGCAGGCGGCCAUUUAAGUCAGCGGUUAAAUCGUGGGGCUCAACCCCAUUCUGCCGUUGAUACUGGGUGGCUUGAUUGCGGUCGAGGUUGGCGGAAUUCGUUGUGUAGCGGUGAAAUGCAUAGAUAUGACGAAGAACACCGAUUGCGUAGGCAGCUGACCAGACCGCAAAUGACGCUCAUGCACGAAAGUGCGGGGAUCGAACAGGAUUAGAUACCCUGGUAGUCCGCACAGUAAACGAUGAAUACUUGUUUUCGGCGAUAUAAUGUCGGAGGCAAAGCGAAAGCGAUAUGUAUUCCACCUGGGGAGUACGCUGGCAACGGUGAAACUCAAAGGAAUUGACGGGG